rnacentral:lncRNA from 1 species
UAGGCUACUAUACUGAAGGUAAGUUCUAAACAUUGUUAAAUAGAAUGGAAAACUUAUAACUUGCAAAUUUUCUUCAGAUGGUGCAUUUUACUGUUUUCUUCAGAGCUAUUUUCCUAAUGCUUUGAGUUUUGGUUGGCUGUCUUGCUUUGUUUGCGGUGCUUGUAUACAUUAUAUUAGAAUAACAUUUCAGUAUAAUGUAUACAAGCUUGAGGCCCGCCUAUCUAUUUAUGCAGAUAUCAAUCUUAUUACAUGCUUGAGCAAACAUUAUACAAGUAUAGCAAGAAAGCCUACCAAACUUGUUAACUACAUACAUUAAAAAAAAUAGCUCUAAUAUGCAGAAUUGUGAACUUAUAUAUCAUUUGUAUGAAGUUGUGGUGUUUUCAAAUUUCAAUGCUUACUACCGGUAAGGAGAAUAAGUUUAUUUUAAUAUUACACACUAACGUAUUUAAACUAAUAUUUGAAUAUGAUUAAAUCCGAAGAAAAAACUUUUAAUUACGUAUACUGAUUUAUCUUUAAAAAACAAACCUGAUAUAUAUUGCUAAUCUAUAAUAACAAGAUGUUGUUUUCUAUACAUAUUGUUUUUCUUGAAGAGACCAUAAGUAGUAAUCUUCCAACAUGAAGACACCAGUUUUACUAUGUGUUGUUAUAUUAGUACUUGCUGGUAGUGGUAAGUAUCGCUAUAAUUCUAUUAUAAUAGUUAAUUGAUAUACGAUCGCAAAGUGUCCGCCUUUUUUUACUCCACGUUCAAUUGUCAGAAAUCCCCUAUUUUUUUUUACAUCUGCUUAUUGCGAACCAAAUGAAACUUUUCCAUAGAACCAUCUCCACUAUCUUUUGGCAGUUCUAUGGUAACAUUGAAUAAAUUUAAUAACUGUUGUUCUCUGCGUAAUCGUCUUUUCAUUGUGACCAUUAAUUCUCUUGUAAGAGAAAUCCAUCACUCAUUGAUUAAUUUACCUUUCGAAUAUGUUAAUCGCUGGCGUCAUUUUAGCAAUUCACCUAGUAGACCAACUGAAAUUUACCUUUAAGUCUUUCUUUCACUCACAAAAAAGUUGAGCAGAGAUAUUUUUUGGGCAAUCUAAAUAAAAUUUAGACCUCUGAUUUCGUUAUACUACUCAUAUGCAGUAUAUAUAUAGAGAGAGAGAUCUAUAUUUUGAUUAGAUUGUUUUUGGGGAAAUCGCUACCUGAAAAGAACUCUCAUAAUUUCCGAAACUGAAAAUGUACUAGGAAAUGCACCGUCCAUAAUUUGAGUUUUUUUACUUAUAACUUCAUUUACUUGUGGUAUAGUUAAAAAUCUUUUGGAGAUAUCAACACUCGUUCGUUUUCUAGAUUUAAUCCUUUUACAGUGAUGCAUACAUCACAAUUUCCACGCUGUAUAGAUAUGUGUAUGAACUCCAUGUGUAAAAUCCUAUUGAUCCAAUUCUUACGAACAUAUUUCCAAGAACUUAGGCUGCCAAUUUUUGUAAAAUAAUUGUUUCUGUUUCAGUCAAGGAAUCGGAUGCUUUUACCUGUAAUUAUUCGCAGACAUUAAGGUGUAAAAGCUAUUGUUCCUCAAUAGGACACUGUAGUAAACGACUAUGCCUCAAUACAGGUGCUGUGGCUAUGUGUGUUUGCAGAAUGUGUUCAAGCAAAUAUAGACUCCCGUUCUGGUAAGUUUUAUUACUUAACUUUCCUUCAUAAUUUAUAUGUACCAAAUCUUAUUUUAAAAAGUAAAAUAACAAAUAGUAUUUCUAAUUCAAAUGAGUCUACAAAUUAAAAUGAAAUAAACCAAAUUGUGGUUUUAUAUACGCUCUAAAUUUUUCUUGGAGAGUUUUUCAGAAAGGCGGAUGUAAACUGAAAUAUAUUAAAUUGAUACUUAAUAUGAUAAAGAUUGCGGUAUAGACAACGAUUUGCAUGCACAUAGAAGGACGUACAGAACAAUUGAUAGACAUUCUUUUCUUUUAUAAAAGAGUAAAAAAUGUAAAAUAUGCAUAAAUGAUAAAUCAACGAUCAUCAAAAUCAGGUGCUUGUAAAACACAUAUCGAAAAAAUAUUGAAGCAAAUUCAGAUAAUCAGCUUAAUACUGCACAAUUCAAGAAACCCAUAAACCAAAAUUGCAUGCAGAUUCUUGCGUGUGUAGUAUAAACAUUUAAACAGCUUAGCAAAACUGUUCAGAUACAAAAUACCGUACGUUUUAUUUCUUUUCAUUUUAGGAGAAAUUCCAUGGAGGAGUAAACACGAAGCCAUAGAGGAAUGUUAUUCAUAACAUGAAGUAUUUUCCGUUGAUUCUUUUCUGAAUAAACAUAUGAAUGUUAUGAAAUAAUGUGUAAUUAAUAAAAGUUUUUAAAAUACUUCCAUUCUUAGUGUUAGAAACUAG